rnacentral:rRNA from 1 species
UACGUAGGGAGCAAGCGUUGCUCGGAAUCACUGGGCGUAAAGCGCACGUAGGCGGAUUGUUAAGUCAGGGGUGAAAUCCUGGAGCUCAACUCCAGAACUGCCUUUGAUACUGGCGAUCUCGAGUCCGGGAGAGGUGAGUGGAACUGCGAGUGUAGAGGUGAAAUUCGUAGAUAUUCGCAAGAACACCAGUGGCGAAGGCGGCUCACUGGCCCGGUACUGACGCUGAGGUGCGAAAGCGUGGGGAGCAAACAGG